CAGGGUACUCGAGUGGCGAACGGGUGAGUAACACGUGGGUGAUCUGCCCUGCACUUCGGGAUAAGCUUGGGAAACUGGGUCUAAUACCGGAUAGGAACCAUCUUUAGUGUGGUGGUUGGAAAGUUUUUUUGGUGUAGGAUGAGCUCGCGGCCUAUCAGCUCGUUGGUGGGGUAAUGGCCUACCAGGGCGGCGACGGGUAGCCGGCCUGAGAGGGUGUACGGCCACAUUGGGACUGAGAUACGGCCCAG
rnacentral:rRNA from 1 species